rnacentral:rRNA from 1 species
AUGCUGGGCGCCAGGAGCAAAUCUGGCCUGGCCGACGCCAAGGGCGACGGCAAGCCGGAGGGGAAGGUCGGCAGCAAGCCGAGCGCCAAGCCGGAGGCCAGGAGCAACGGCAAGGGCACGCCACCGACACCCAGGGGCGAGACGCCGCCGACACCCAAGGGCGACAGGCCGCGGAAGCCGGCCGUCCCCAAGGCGAAUGCCGCCCAUGGCACGCCGCCGAGCGCGCCGCGCACGGCCGACAAGUCCCCCAGGUCCGCCGACCGCAAGUCGCCCAAGGGCGCCACCCCAACCCGGAUCACCGCCACCACCCCUCCUCCUGCAGAGAAGCAGGGGAAGGCUGGGAAGCCAUCUCCCGAGCCGCAGGCCGCCAAGCCGUCCCAGGAGCUGCGGGCGCAGCUUGAUGCCGUCCAAGAGGCGCUCAAGAAGGCCAUGGGUCAGCUGGUGGAGAAGGAAGAAGAGAAGGGCAAGGUUCUGGAGGAACUGGAGUGCGCCAAGAAGGUGGCCGAUGAGGCCAAUGCGAAGCUCAAGGAGGCGCUCGAUGUGCAGAGCAGGACCGUGGAGAUCCAGAAGGUCCAUUCCAUGGAACCUGAGCAGGUGAGCAACAAUGAUUCUGCCCACGGCGAGGAAGAUGAGCUGCGGAGGAAGCUGAAGAGCAUGCAGAGCCAGCAGGAGGCCGACGCAGCCGCACUGCAUUCGACGGUGGAGCAGCUUGAGAAGGCAAGGUAUGAGCUGGCAGAUGCAAUUGAUGCCAAGAACUGGGCGCUUAGCCAGGCAGAUGAUGCCAUGAGGGCUUGCGAGGUGAAUACUCAGAAAAUCGAGCUCCUCAACGCGGAGGUGGAGCGCCUGAAGGGGCUGCUUGAUUCCGAGGUGGAGAGCAAGUCGAGGGAAGCUGCUGACCAAAUCGGAAAGCUUGAGGCAGAGAAUUCUGUGUUGAAGCUUGAAUUGCAGAAAGCAAAGCUAGCUGAGAAGAAGGUGAUUGAAUUGGAGGGUGUGGUUGAACAGCUUAGAGUUGAUGUUGCUAAUGCCAAGAAGGAAUGCUCAAAGUCAGAUGAGUUGGCUAAUGAAUUGAAGAAGAAGGUGCAGCUGUUGGAGUUCCAAUUGGAGGAAGCCGAUCAGUCUCUCAUUUUGAAAGGCAAGUCUUUGGAUUCAGUGAUGGAAGAAUUAGAUGAAACAAGCACUUUGCUUAAAGACAAAGAAUCUGAAGCUGCUGUACUUCAUGACAACGUCAGAUCCUUGGAGGAUGAGGUGACCAGGCUCAAGGAAGAAAUUGACGUGACAAGUGAGCGUCUUGAUGCUGCAGAGAAAGAUGCAUCUGACCUAAUUGCAGAGAUCGAAGAGCUAAGGAUGAAGCUACAGGCAGUAGAAGAUGAGAAAACAAAGGCGCUGAACAAUGACCAGCUUGCAAGUUCAGAAAUCGCGGCCCUGACUGAACAAAAGAACGAGCUAGCCAACGAGCUAGAAGCUAGCAAAGAUGAAGUCGAGAAGGUUAAGAAGGCAAUGGAGGGUCUGGCCUCUGCCUUGCACGAGAUGUCAGCUGAAUCCAGAGAGGCCCAGGAGAAAUACCUCAUCAAACAGGAAGAGAUCGAGCACGCUCGGGCACAAGUAGAGGAACUCAACAAUAGUCUGCAGAAUGCCAAGGAGAGCUAUGAGGUGAUGCUCGAUGAAGUAAACUACGAGAAAGUUUGCCUCAAGAAGUCCGUUGAGAGAAUGGAGGCAGAAGCUAAGAACGUGUCUGAGGAAUGGCAGUCCAAAGAGCUAAGUUUUGUCAACUCUAUUAGGAAGUCAGAAGAAGAGAUCGUUGCUGUCAAAGCUCAAAUGGACAAGUACUUGGCCGUGGUGAAUGAAAAAGAAGCUGAAAAUACCGAGCUGCUGGAGAAGAUGAAUCAUCUGGAAGCUCAGCUAGUUGAAGCCAACAAGGCUAGCGAGGAAGCCAAGGCCGAGACCCGGCAAUUGAAGGACAAACUAUUAGACAAGGAGAACGAAUUACAGAACAUACAAGAGGAGAACGAGGACUUGCAGGCAAAGGAAUCGGCUGCUUCGGAGAAGAUAAAAGAGCUCUCUUUCCUGGUGCCGAAUGGAACAACAAAUGGUGGCAACAAGGAAGAAGACAAUGAGAACGGAGGCGGUGUGGAUGACGAGCCGGUUGUGGUGGUUGCCAAGAUGUGGGAGAACAGCAAGGUUACCGACUACGACUCGUCCAAGGAGAAGGAGAACGACGGCGAGUCCGAAGUCGAUCUGGAGUCCAACAAGGGAGACUCCGGCCUUGACAGCAACGGGCUGCAGUCCGCAAAGCUGAACAACGGCAUCACAUCGCCGACCAAACAGCAGCAGCAAAAGAAGAAGAAAUUUAAAUUUAGCGGCUUACUGAAGAAAAAGAGCUCAAAUUAG